UCAGACGAUGCGUCAUGCAUAUCAAUAAGCGGAGGAAAAGAAACUAACAAGGAUUCCCUUAGUAACGGCGAGUGAAGCGGGAAGAGCUCAAAUUUGAAAUCUUCAAGGUUUUACCUUGACGAAUUGUAGUUUAAAGAAGUGUUUUCUGUUGAAGUUUUGGUAAAAGUUCUUUGGAAUAGGACAUCAUAGAGGGUGAGAAUCCCGUAUUUGACCAUUAUUUUCAGCUGUGUGAUACACUUUCAAAGAGUCGGAUUGUUUGGGAAUACAGUCCAAAAUGGGUGGUAAAUUUCAUCUAAAGCUAAAUAUUGGCGAGAGACCGAUAGCGAACAAGUACCGUGAGGGAAAGAUGAAAAGAAGCUUUGAAAAGAGAGUUAAACAGUACGUGAAAUUGUCAAAAGGGAAGCGUUUGACACCAGUGUUGUUUUCUCGAAAAUCAAUUAAAAAGAGUUAGAUUUUGUUGUGUAUUGACCUUAACAGCUUGCAUUUCAAUUUUCUUGCUUUUUUUAAUGCACUUUUCGUUUAACAAGUCAACAUCAGUUUCUUUUGUUGUAAAAAGGUCAUUGGAAGGUGGCUUUCUUUUCGGAGAAAGUGUUUAUAGCCUUUGACUCCUGCAAUCGGAGAGACUGAGGUCUGCAGCGUAGAUCCUUCGGGGUUAGAUACAUUUGUGCUAAGUUAUAGCUUUUUAUAGACAACUUGUUGACUAUGAUUAGUCUUGUAGCUUACUCGCUUAUGCUAUUUUACCUACGCUUAGGAUGUUGAGUCGUAGAGCACGCA
rnacentral:rRNA from 1 species